GUGGGGAAUAUUGGGCAAUGGGCGAAAGCCUGACCCAGCGACGCCGCGUGGGGGAAGAAGUCCCUCGGGAUGUAAACCCUUGUUGUACGGGACGAAGGAAGUGACGGUACCGUACGAGGAAGCCCCGGCAAACUACGUGCCAGCAGCCGCGGUAAUACGUAGGGGGCAAGCGUUGUCCGGAAUGACUGGGCGUAAAGGGCGUGUAGGCGGCCGAUUAAGUCUGGAGUGAAAGUCCUGCUUUCAAGGUGGGAAUUGCUUUGGAGACUGGUUGGCUUGAGUGCGGAAGAGGCAAGUGGAAUUCCCAGUGUAGCGGUGAAAUGCGUAGAUAUUGGGAGGAACACCAGUGGCGAAGGCGCCUUUCUGGACUGUGUCUGACGCUGAGAUGCGAAAGCCAGGGUAGCGAACGGGAUUAGAAACCCUGGUAGUCC
rnacentral:rRNA from 1 species